rnacentral:rRNA from 1 species
AAGUGGCGAACGGGUGAGUAACACGUGAGCAACCUACCUUACACAGGGGGAUAGCCGUUGGAAACGACGAUUAAUACCGCAUGAGACCACAGAAUCGCAUGAUAUAGGGGUCAAAGAUUUAUCGGUGUAAGAAGGGCUCGCGUCUGAUUAGCUAGUUGGAAGGGUAAAGGCCUACCAAGGCGACGAUCAGUAGCCGGUCUGAGAGGAUGAACGGCCACAUUGGAACUGAGACACGGUCCAAACUCCUACGGGAGGCAGCAGUGGGGAAUAUUGCACAAUGGGGGGAACCCUGAUGCAGCGACGCCGCGUGAGCGAAGAAGGUUUUCGAAUCGUAAAGCUCUGUCCUAUGAGAAGAUAAUGACGGUAUCAUAGGAGGAAGCCCCGGCUAAAUACGUGCCAGCAGCCGCGGUAAUACGUAUGGGGCGAGCGUUGUCCGGAAUUAUUGGGCGUAAAGGGUACGUAGGCGGUUUUUUAAGUCAGGUGUGAAAGCGUGAGGCUUAACCUCAUUAAGCACUUGAAACUGGAAGACUUGAGUGAAGGAGAGGAAAGUGGAAUUCCUAGUGUAGCGGUGAAAUGCGUAGAUAUUAGGAGGAUACCGGUGGCGAAGGCGACUUUCUGGACUUUU